rnacentral:rRNA from 1 species
GGAUUAGAUACCCUGGUAGUCCACGCCGUAAACGAUGAUAACUAGCUGUCCGGGGACUUGGUCCUUGGGUGGCGCAGCUAACGCAUUAAGUUAUCCGCCUGGGGAGUACGGCCGCAAGGUUAAAACUCAAAUGAAUUGACGGGGGCCUGCACAAGCGGUGGAGCAUGUGGUUUAAUUCGAAGCAACGCGCAGAACCUUACCAGCGUUUGACAUGGUAGGACGGCUCCGAGAGAUCGGUUCCUUCCCUUCGGGGACCUACACACAGGUGCUGCAUGGCUGUCGUCAGCUCGUGCCG